UGCUUGUCAUAGCCACAAGGUGAUUUCAGUUCUCGGAUGCCAGGAAACCUCUCUGCUGAUCAAAACACAGCUGCACAGGCUCACUGGAUCUAUUCAUGGGUGCCACACGACUGGGAGAGAGGAAGUCAGAAGCAGUAAUGGUCCAGAAGUCUUCCAGACCUCUUGCAGGGGCAAUGUUUCCACAGCCACAGAUUUUCAGAGGAGAGAGUGCAAGACUCAUUCUGGGUGCACGGAGAGGAUUCCCUUCACAAUCAGAAAAGGACUUCAUACACAUAAUAUCUCUGAAUUCCCAGAAUCCAUCCCUUCUCUGCUGAGUCAGAAGAAACAGCUCUCAAAUGUGAAGGAAGGCAUGGAAAAUGACAACUCAUCGCAGUUUGAGGGUGAAUGAGUUUUCAGGGCUUUGGAGGCAGAGUAAUGGGGCAUAACGUAGAAAGGGACUCCCAGAGAAUUCACUGUACAAGAUUUCCAGUAUUACCUAAGUCAUAUCCUUCCCAAGGGAAGUCUAAUAAUUACACAAAGUCUCUAGAGAUUGGCUAAAAGACCGGGGAGAAGGCCUUACUUCAGCUCAAAUACAUUUUCCUGUAAACCCUACAAUAUCUCCUUUUUCCUUUAUUUCUGCUCUUUGAAAAGUCUGAACUAUAUAGCCAGCAUGUUUGUUAGUUUUUGGAGGUUUUUUUAUCACUUGGUCUCUUUUACACAUGGUUUCUUGAGGCAGUGUAUCUUGAGACAGCCUUAUUAUCUGAAUGAAUGUUUUCUUGGUGAUAGCAAUGUUGCAGAUGUUAUAUCAGGUUACUUGAAUCCCCCCUGAACAUUCCUAAUGCAGAAAGCUGACAGAUAAAAUAAAAGAGGAGCAAUGAAUCCUGAUAGUUUUAGUGACCCAUCCUUCAGACAUCAGCCUGUGUCAGUGAUCAUUUUCCUGAGCUCAGAAUGCUGCCCAUUGUCUGUGCACAUGCUGUGCUUGAACAUCACCUGUUCACCAGCAAGGACAAUGGUUUUAGUGGCAGGAUCUCUUGUCCCUGCCCAGACAAUGCCUGUCUCUGUCCCCAUGGGGAUUCUACAGUGCCCCAAAAAUUGAGACUUUGGGGACCAGUUGAAGAGCAUGGCAAGCAUAUAAGGCAGAACAAUGUACAUGUACCUGCCUAACUCUGUGCACCAAAAAUAUCUCAGACAAAAACACAGAUGACUCAGCAGCAGCAGUGCAGGUGGAGCCUGAUCAGAAAUUAAAGAAAAUGAGACAUGCCAUGGACCAGAAAAUAACAUGCCUGUGGAAGCAGCAGGCUUUUGUGCUCCCCCACAGACCCAGUCCAGAACAAAUCCUGAAAGGUAACAAUCUCACAGCAGCAAUGCCUACAAGAGAACCUACAAUAAACAUAGGCUCUAAUCAAAUGCAUUACGAUUUUUAAAUGCAAAUGUAGAAUGGAACUGUCAAAAUGUUUUAUCCCUAAAUUGUGAAUGCUAACCUUCCCAUACUUAUUAUAUAGCAGUACAUUUUAAUUUGCCUGGAGCAGAGUUGAAUAAAGCAAGCAUCACAAACACAAUCAAAUGGAUAUGCAAAAGAACUGCUCUUCACAAUAGCUGUGUGUCUGAGCAAAGCUUCAAAUGUUGAUCAAUUGAUUACCAAAAUCAAAGAAUACAUUUCCCAAAUGAGCUUCUGCAAAGCACUCAAUAGGACCAGAGAAAAACAGCAUAAAGUUCCACAGAACAGCAGUUUUCUCUAAAAUAUUACAGGUGCAACUUUCUACUGUUUUUCUGGUUUAUAACUUAGAUCUGCACAGAUCUAGAAUGAGGAAUAAAACACUUCUUAUAAAUCAAUGGUUUGAUUCAGUUUCAGUGUGGUAAAUUCAGUCAAAUAAAGAAGAAAACAAUUUGAAAUUAUCCAAAGGUAUACUUUAAAUCUUAUAGCAAAUACAGUCUCACUGGUACAAUCAUCCAAAUGAUUUUUUAAAAUAUUUAAUGAGCAAAAUAAUGGCAAAAAUAUAAAAUCAAGCAUAACUAAUACUGUUCUGUCCAUCUACCAUCUCCAGUGAGCUGGUUUCUGCUGUGCCAUGCUGCUGUUGUUGUAUUUUUUGCCUUUCUUCUGUCAUUCAUCUUUGCAGAACAACAGCCCACCAAAUGCACAUGGUUUUUGCUCACUGA